CUAAGCACGAAGCCAGCCACAAGAUAAGAUCUCGCUGAGGGUCGUUGGAGACUACGACGUUGAUAGGCUGCAGGUGCAAGGUCGGUGACGGCCUCAGCCGAGCAGUACUAAUCACCCGAAAGCUUUCUGGUG
rnacentral:rRNA from 1 species